AGGCCUGUGGCAGAGCAAGGAGCACAAGUGCUGCUUUUCUAUUCCUUGGACCCACAUUUAAUGUUACAGGGUUGCUUUUCCAGCUUCCAGGGAGUGACCUCAGCCAGAGCUUGGCUUCACCAGAGCAGAGUUAGUGCUUAGUGUCUUCAUCCUCAGUGCUUCCAGCCGCAGACAUGGAGAAGGGGGGGAAUGGAGCUGAGAUCAUGUCAAGUGAUCAUUGCAGGAGAAAGAGACCGAAAGGACGUCCAUUUCUGCCCCCUGUCUGUGGUGUUUCAGCUGUCCAUGAAUAACCGGGUGGCUGCUGGGAACAGCAGGAUGACGACUGUCAUUUCUGCUGGUCUCUGCCAAGAGGGGGGAGAAAAUGACAAGCAGAAGCACCAAGUAUAUGGCAAGAGCCACUGCAUGAAUCAAGAGGGAGGAGUGGUUCUGGUCACCAAAGCUCAGCACUCCAUGGCAGAGGUGACAAAGCAAGAGGUUUAGUAAGCAUAAUUACUUUGCUCUGUGGAAACAUGCCUGAAACAACCGAAGAAGCACUGGAGUUGAGGUGUUUCUGCAAUCAUCUCCAUAGUUCCUGAAUCCCAAGAGAUGUGUUCAGGUUUUGAGGCUCAUUCUGCUUCU